AUUGAACGCUGGCGGCAGGCCUAACACAUGCAAGUCGAGCGGAUGACGGGAGCUUGCUCCUUGAUUCAGCGGCGGACGGGUGAGUAAUGCCUAGGAAUCUGCCUGGUAGUGGGGGACAACGUGUCGAAAGGAACGCUAAUACCGCAUACGUCCUACGGGAGAAAGCAGGGGACCUUCGGGCCUUGCGCUAUCAGAUGAGCCAAGGUCGGAUUAGCUAGUUGGUGAGGUAAUGGCUCACCAAGGCGACGAUCCGUAACUGGUCUGAGAGGAUGAUCAGUCACACUGGAACUGAGACACGGUCCAGACUCCUACGGGAGGCAGCAGUGGGGAAUAUUGGACAAUGGGCGAAAGCCUGAUCCAGCCAUGCCGCGUGUGUGAAGAAGGUCUUCGGAUUGUAAAGCACUUUAAGUUGGGAGGAAGGGCAGUAAGUUAAUACCUUGCUGUUUUGACGUUACCGACAGAAUAAGCACCGGCUAACUCUGUGCCAGCCGCCGCAGUAAUAC
rnacentral:rRNA from 1 species